rnacentral:lncRNA from 1 species
AUAGAGAGGAGGCGAGCUGUUUGUGAUCCAGGGGACAUGGCAAAAAGAACCUGAAUUCAUCAUGAGGAAGGAACCCAUCACAAGGAAGCAACCUAUGAAGGCAGCCAUUAGGCAAGGGACAUCUGAGAUGGGCACUGCAAGCAUGUUCAAGAAAACACCUCUUCUGCCAGCUAGAGGCUCCCCCGCCCAGUGGAGGAGGAAUCAAAUUCCACCAUCUUUAAUCUGGCUACACCAUAUUUGAAUAAUAAUCCUGAAAUUCACAUUGAUGCUCAAGAAGUCGCUUCUUCAAAACUUUAAGAGGGAGCUCAUGCCCUCCAGGCUUUUUUCCCUUUUUUGUUCAGGUUUUAUAAAGAUGAAUUUCCAGUGCUCUGAAAUACCAUGGAUUAGUAGUUAAGCCUGACAGCACUUCGGGGAGUAGCGAGCUUAAAGUGCCUCACACAGGUCUCCAAAGCACUUGUUUACUAAUAGAGGAAAUCAGCAACCGUCUGCAGCUGCUGAUAUCGCAUUACCAUUUGGAAAGACAGUAGCUGAGAUAACAAAUCACACAGUUUUAAUAAUUACUCCUGCAUUCCCGUUUUUUGUUUCCUGCAUAACUGUAAAGGCUGGAUUUCUUCCAAAUAAACAGAUAAAAACAG